ACACAUAGUACAAACACCUCCACCCACAAACCAAACCUACACCUCUCUAGCCUGUAAUGAUAAGUGUGCACAAAUUGCACACACCACCUACCGGACACACUUGCAGUCCAGCGAACCACACAGGCCACAGGCACUUACCCUUCCCUCCACCUCUGCCAUGCUGCAACAAUCACGGACAGCUCGCCCCACAGCCCACACCUUCUCUUUCCCCGUGUCUCUGAAAGGACCGCUAAAGCCUUCUGGAGAAUUAAAAGUGCGUUUCACUUGGCACAUAAUGAAAAUGACACCGACCUGGUUAAGACAGAACAGCCCUUCCUCCUCCCUGGAAGACUUUUCACUCAACUUUAGAGGAGAAACAUGAGUCUUGAGAUCAUCCACUGGACUAGAACUUUCUGGGAACUAAUCAGCAAUUUCAGGAUUUAAUAAACAGAUCCCGUCAUCUCCAACCUACCCAGGAGGGAGCAUGCCUUCCAAAAGUGUUUACAAGAUGUCUCAAUCGAGGAGGACUUUGGAAUUCCAUGGAUUGUCCCAGAAGAGCUGUGGCUUCACGGAUGUCCUAUUAACUUCAUUAUCUUUUCUCCUCCACCCCCCCCCCGCCUUCUUACUUCCCUCCUUUUCCUGCUCUUUCCUUCUCUUCCCCUUCUACCUCAACUCACAUUCUCCCCCUCCCCGUCCCUCUCCCCCUCCUUCUCUUUCCUCUCCCCCUUCUCAGCACCUUCUCUCUUUUCCCUUCUGUCCCCCUCCUUCCUUCUUCCCCACUCCUCAGAGGUCAUACCUGUUUGACAUUUGACAUGCUCAGAAAGCUGUGUAUUUUCUUAUGCCCUUCCUCUCAAAGCUGUGACUUGUUCUGUGGCUUCUCCUGGUUCAACUCUUGGCUCUUCUGAAACAUUUGGGCUGAAACCUUUUGAACAUAAUAUGCUGAUCAGUUAGGGACAUCUAAGCCCUGAUUCAGAAAUUUUUCACUGUUGAUAAUUUGUUAACAUACUUAAACAUUUUAAUUUUUAUUACACUCUUUUCGAUGUCUAUAAAUAUUUUACAUGUAGCAGCUGUUCCAUGACUUGAACCCAAUUGUUCUCCCUAAAUAACUGUGAGGCCAGAUAUGGUGUGAGCCUGUGAACUCUGUACCUGAGGCAGAGGCAAGAGGAUCAUGAGUUCGAAGCCAGUCUGGGCUACCUAACAAGUGACAGACAAGCCCUACAUGCACAAUGAGACCCUGUAUAUCAGAAAGGGAAAGAGAAGAGAGAGAAGGAAGGGAAGGGAGGGGAAAGUCAAAUGUUGAAAUGCUUUGCCCUGGAGCCUUGUCUUGUUACUCAGUUGGGGUUGUGAUUCUAGGAGGUAUUGAUGCUCCGUGUGCCGCAGCAAAUCUGUCCUCUCUGCUUGAUACUACAUCUUGCUCCAAGUUAGCAAUUGUUCAAUGUCCACAUUUUGAAUAAACAGCACUCCCACAUGGCAUCAAUACCCACGUUCUAGGUACAGAUUACAUAAAAAGGAGCUGGCUUUCUGUUUGCUGCUUUCACUUUCUAUUGCAUCGCGAGGCUCUGACGCCACUGAGUUCCAUGUUUAGCUUAUUAAUUUUUUACUUUCCCAGUUUAUCAUGGAAAAUUUCAAGCCCAGAAAAGAAGUAGAACAGUCCAAUGUAACCAUGGACAUAUUAACUAGCUUCUACUAUUAUUAGCAUUUGAAUUUCUCUGUCCAAUAGUUGUUUCUGUAGUAUUCUAAAGCAAUUAUCAGUAUCAUAUAAUUUCUUCUACAAAAACAAAAUGAGACAAAAAACAAAUAAAAUGAAAGAAACCUCAGCAAAGAAAAUUCAUCAGAAAAAUCUACACCAUAGAUAACAAGCUGCCAGCACUAGUAAAUAAACAAAAUCCUUUAAAUUUCCUCAGUUACUUCAGAACUAUCCCCUUUAUAUUCGAUUGAUCUUUGUUUGAUUUGGGGUCUCAUGCAGUCCAGAUUGGCUUAGAAGUCAUGCUGUAUGUAGUCAAGGAUGGACUGGAAUUCCCAAUCCUCCUCCCUUUAUUGACCAAGUGCAGGGAUUUCAGACAUGUGCCACUGUCAGCUUAGCUGGGCUCUAUGAAUGGUGGCCAAGCACUCUACAGCCCCAG